GCCAGUUUGGUCAUGCCAGGAAAGAUGGUACAGUUGGGACAGUUUCCAUCCCAAAGGGCCCACUGCCUUCUGCCCCAUGGAAUUUAAUGUCAACACCACUGACAGCAGCUUCUGCAGCCAAGCUGCGAAUAGACAAGUCACCAAGUUGAAUGCAAUGUAAUCAUGUAUGAGGAUGCGGAGUGGGCAUGGGAAUUAGGCUGUGAGACUAUAUCUUAUCUGCACUACAAAUGUGUUGUGUUAAAGCAGUCUCUCCUCAUCUGCUUAAACCCUUGGAAACCAGUAUUUCCUUCUGGUCAUUCAUUAUAAUUCCCCGUAAUCCCAAUACUUAUAAAAGCCAAACACAACAUGGCACUGGUUAUAAAGUUUUAAUCAGGUAAAACACUCAGUAUUCAUUCUGCUCAAUUUUAUCAGUGAGAAAACAGGCUCAGAGAGGUCCAGUGGCCUCCCUGAGGUCACCCAGCUGGGCACUAUUGGGCAUCUUUAGUUCAUUUAGCCUUCUGAGAUGUAAAGCUCUUCUCUUUCCCCAAGAGGAGAUUGUGUAUACCUAUGGAGGAGACCUGAAGGGUGCCCUCAGGAAAGACCUCAGCACUCCUGUCCCCUUCUUAUGUCUGUGCUUUAAAUGCAGAACCCCCCAGCUGGGCGCGGUGGCUCACACCUGUAAUCCCAGCACUUUGGGAGGCCGAGGUGGGCGGAUCACCUGAGAUCGGGAGUUCGAGACCAGCCUGACUAACAUGGAGAAACCCUGUCUCUACUAAAAAUACAAAAUUAGCUGGGCGUGGUGGUGCAUGCCUGUAAUCCCAGCUACUCAGGAGGCUGAGGCAGGAGAAUCGCUUGAACCUGGGAGGCGGAGGUUGCGGUGAGCCAAGAUUGUGCCAUUGCACUCCAGCCUGGGUAACAAGAGAAAAACUCCAUCUCAAAAAAAUAAAAUAAAAUAAAUAAAUGCAUAGCCCCUUUGCAAGAUCAGGGCUUCAGAGACUGGACAGUCGGGAUAGAUCCAUUAUUUUCUUUUAAUGGCCAAAGUCCUUGGAAAGAUAAAUCAAGACCUGGAUCUGAAUUUGCUUGGCCAGCAUAGACAUGAAGACACCUUUCAAUAGGCUACUGGGCCUGAUGCAUAAAGACAACUACACAAUCAAUGAAGAGAGGGAACAGCCUCAGAUUCUGAUGACCACUGAUGUUUCCAACUGCAAACCAUGCCGCACUCUCGAGAUGUUCCCAGAGGCCAGAUGAGAACAGAGUUCGGUGGGGAGCACAUUUUCUUUCCUUGAAGAGAUGAAGGGUACCAUCCACCACUUAAUUUCUGAUAAGACAUUAAAUGUAUGAUUCUCAUCUCUAAGAAAUGAAACGCUGAGCUGGAUUUUUGGAUCAAUGGAAUACCUACUCCUGUUAAAGCACUUAAAAAGGAAAACAUCUACAAAAUGUCCCAUUAGGCUGACAAAUUUAUAGCAGUAUGAAAAGUGUGCCAGCAGUUUCAAAGCCGAAUAGAGCGUUGUGUUUAAAGAGUAUGAAUGGAUCUGAGUUCAGCAAUAUUUCAUCUACAUGAACAAGUUUAGCUAUCACAUCUCUUCCCAAUAUUUCCCACAUUUACUUUUAACUAGGCAUACGUAUGCCAUGACAGAAUAUGGACAUCAUCUUUAAAAAUAAGUUGUAAAAUGAAUAAUAUUAAAUGGACUUUCACAGCGUGAAGACGUGGAAAUAUAUUCUCAUCUUGAUGUGUGGGGCUGUACAGACAUAAAUGCCAUUAGCAUUAAUGGUAAUUAUGUGCGUAAAUCCCCAUGCUCUCAAUGAGAAUAUGCCCCUUAGUUUGCAAGUGCAAUGACUGGCUCAUUUCUGAGGCUAGAAACAGCUGAUACUUUACCCCCUCUAACUGGGAGAAAGAUACGGGGUGGCUCAGAGCAUAAAAUCUGAUCACCCACUUUCCCAAAACAUGCAAUUCAAGCACUUUAAAACUCCUUCACCUCAGAAACACUGAAGAUGUAGGAAAAAGCCUCAAACUGCGGUCUGAGUAUUCUGGCAAUUUAUGCUAUAUCAUUCAUAGGUUCCUGUCACUUGCUAGGGUGGUUACACUACAGGAGCUAUGUGUUCUCAUAACAAACUCAUUUUAUUAUGUUCUGAUAACGAUCGAGGAUAAUAUUUUUCAGCCAACCCAGAAGAGGCUGUUUACAAUACAAUUUUUCAGAAAGUAAGCAAAUUUAGCAUCCUGUUCACCAGAGCCAAUAUAUUCUAAUCUUAUUAAAACAGGCAGGCAGAUGACAGACCCCAGGAAAAGGUUCGUGUCUUCUCUUUUCAAUUCAUAAAUUAAUAAGGCAGUGUGACCCAAGUGUUUGGUUAGGCUUCACCUUACACGGUAGGAAAACAAAAAAGUCUUCUUGGCCAAAAAGUCAGAAAGCAUUAACAGAAAAGGUCGGCUGGUUAUAACUUUACAAACACUUCAUCAGGGUAAGAUGGAGCAAAGUGACAUAUGUAAUUAAAGUAUACUAAAAAAACAAGUCAUUGUGGUUUUCAAUUACAAUGGUACUAAGAAGCAACCAUAUUAUUUCUACAAACCAUUUUCACUUAGCACAGUUCAGAUGGAAUUAUUGCCAUGACCUUUUAAAAAUGUGAAAGAGUGAAUCAAUACCCUUUCAGAGGCAAGACUGCAGGAGCUGAAUUGGCCAUGCAGUAAUGGUGUGUAUUUCUGCAUC
rnacentral:lncRNA from 10 species